UCAAACUUGGUCAUUUAGAGGAAGUAAAAGUCGUAACAAGGUUUCCGUAGGUGAACCUGCGGAAGGAUCAUUAUUGAAACAUUGUAAAGGAGAGUUGAGCUGGCCCUUCAAGGGCAAGUGCUCGCUGUUCUUUCAAUCUUCAUCCACCUGUGCACUUUUUGUAGGGAGUCUGAGAAACUGGGACUUUUUAAGUAAGGUUCUAGGUAUUGGGCUCCUUAUGUCUUUAUACACACCAGAUGUAUGUUUAUGAAUGUCUUUUAUAAGGGACUUAACUGGACCUUUUAAAAACUAUACAACUUUCAGCAACGGAUCUCUUGGCUCUCGCAUCGAUGAAGAACGCAGC
rnacentral:misc_RNA from 1 species